rnacentral:rRNA from 1 species
GUGUCAGCCGCCGCGGUAAUACGGAGGGGGCUAGCGUUGUUCGGAAUUACUGGGCGUAAAGCGCACGUAGGCGGCUUUGUAAGUUAGAGGUGAAAGCCCAGGGCUCAACCCUGGAAUUGCCUUUAAGACUGCAUCGCUUGAACAUCGGAGAGGUAAGUGGAAUUCCGAGUGUAGAGGUGAAAUUCGUAGAUAUUCGGAAGAACACCAGUGGCGAAGGCGACUUACUGGACGAUUGUUGACGCUGAGGUGCGAAAGCGUGGGGAGCAAACAGGAUUAGAAACCCGUGUAGUCC